GACGAACGCUGGCGGCGUGCAUAACACAUGCAAGUCACGGGGCCAGCAAUGGCAACCGGCGAACGGGUGCGUAACACGUAAAGCGACCCUACCUCGAGUGUGGGGCAUAGCCGGCCUAACGGCCGGGUAAUUCCGCAUGUGAUCCUUGAGGGGCAGUAUCUCGGGGAUGAAACCNGUAAUGGGCAUUGAGAGGGGCUUGCGGCCUAUCAGCUUGUUGGCGGGGUAACGGCNCACCAAGGCGACGACGGGUAGCCUGGUCUGAGAGGAUGGCCAGCCACAUUGGGACUGAGAAACGGCCCAGACUCCUACGGGAGGCAGCAGUGGGGAAUCUUGCGCAAUGGCCUAACGGCUGACGCAGCGACGCCGCGUGAGGGAUGAAGC
rnacentral:rRNA from 1 species